UUCAUACAUAUAUAUAUGAAUAUAAGUUAUCUCUCUUCUGAUUAUUGCUUCACUUUACACUUAACUCGAGUUAUGGGUUUUUCGCCCGAUGGUUUAAUUACAUGUAUAGGUCCUUUUUUUUUCCUUCUCUGUUUUUAAGAAUUCAGGAGUAGAUUAUAGAAGUAAUAUUUGGAUUAUGAAUUUUUUGCCCUGUCUGAUUUUAUUUAUUUGGCUGCUAAAUACACUCUUUUAGUCGAAUGUAUUCGUUUCUGCCGAGUCGUUUGUUUGCGUGGCUGGGAGAUUCAUAAUUCAGUGAAGCCUAAUGACAUGAAACCUGAAAACAAAAUAUAAGUAUUGAAGGAUUGAUUGAGGCCGGGUACAAAGCCUGAUGAAAAGAAAAGAUUAGUAUUGAUGUAUUGGUGAAGAGUCGAGCGAAGAAGAAUAUGAAUAUGAAUAUAUACUUGUUCUUCAUACAUAUAUAUGAAUAUGAGUUGUCUCUCUACUGAUUAACUAGCUCUCUUUGUUAUCCAUUGUUUAUUUAUCUUAAAUUCAGUAAUUUAGUUGCUUAUAAGGAUUGAUUAGUUUGAUCUUUGUUUUUAGUUGCUUAUAAGAAUUGAUUAAUUUGAUCUUUGUUUUUUAGUCACUUAUUAUAUUGAUAAGACCCUUAAUUUUUGCACAGCUCUGUUUCUUUGGUUCCUGGUAGUUUCAGCUGCCUCAAAGCCAUGAAAACACUAAAAAUGAAUCAUGCACGUAAAGUAUUUGAUCUGAGAGUUGUUUAAAAAUUAACUCACUGUGAUCAAAUGAAUAAUCACAGAAUUAAAAUCAUUAGAAUUGUGCAAGUUGCUUUAGUUAUCUUUUCAACCAAGUGUAUGAAAUCAGUGUGAUAUAUAAUUAUGUAUCUGUUUGAGAUGCAGCAUUUUUUAUACAAGUUUAUCAUGCCCUGAUUAAACUGCAAUUUAUUUGUAGCAGAACAUUGUUAAAAUGGUUUACAUACCAACCACCUCUUUCUCUGGUGUAUUUUUCGAAUGAAAACCCCCAGUCUUAUCUAUUGAAGUGAAGCGGAAAUCAUGCAUUAACUGUUGAGCGAUUUGUAAUGUGCAAGGCAUUUGCAUUUGGAGUUGUUAACAAACAAGUUCUCCAUAACGCAGUAGCUUUAUGCUUAAAAACAUAGCAAGAAACAAGAACUAUAUGAAUCUCUAUAUCGUAGGCGAAUUCAGCAUAUAGAAUUAGUGUUCUACACGUGUGUGCUUUGCAGGUGCUACCUAAAUCAAGCACUACCACUUUCGUUUUGCAAUGCACCUUAAUAUUUUAUAAAUGCUAGGCUGAAUAACUUUGAGAACUGUCUAAUAGAAAACAUUAAGAGAUAUAAUUCAAUUAGAAACGAAAGUACAAAAGACACUUGACAUAGUAAUUGAUUACAGGGUAUUUGUGCUGUUAUUUUUUAACGACCAUUUUUCUUGUAAUGACAGAGUACUUGCUUUCGAGCUUCUCGGCCCUUUUCGCCUUAUGGUUGAUUACGUACUCAGGUUAUCUGUUUAGUUUAGUUAAUUAGUUUAUUAAGUGCCCUUAGCUAAAGCCUAAAGCACAAGGAGUAGGAACAGAACUGGAGUACUUCAAGUUCAUGCAUGAUGUUAAGUGAUGUUACAGUCUGCCUUGUCUUACUCGAUUUCCGCUUUUUAUAGCUCAGCACUGCCACGGGUAGCUCUCCUAUUGUAUGGGUCAUAAUUGCACAGGAUCCAAUUAAUACCUUUUUGAAGCCACAAACGACAAGGUUGUUUUUUUAAUCAAAACGAUAUCGUUUUAAUUGAUGAGGACAGUUACUUUAGUUCUCCUCGAAUGCUGCUGUUGGAUACUGAUAUGUAACUAUUUGAUAAUAAUUAAGUUAAUUCUAGUGGCCCUAUUUAGUAACGGGAACUAUGGCUAAUUAAAGGAAUAAUCUUGUAGAUUGCUGCAUAUAGCUAGAUGACUUUAUUCCUAUGUUCACGGUGCAAAACUUCAUAAGAACAGAUUGUGGAGACCUAGUUUAAUAAAUGGUUCUGCAAAUUGUCUAACUGUAAUGUUAUUAUCCAAUCUGUAGCUACUAUCUUACUGUUCUCUGACAUUAUCUAUACUGUAGAUUCAUUUCAGAACCUUAAUAACUGCGCAUAUCAUCUUAUAUUUGUAUGCAUGUUCAGUGAUGCAAUAUUUAUGUUCAGGAACUACAUGGCUCUAUCCUAUAUUUCAAACUACUAUUUUUUCUGAACCAUCAAGGAAGCUAUAUAUUAGAUAAGUUGCUAUAAGAUUGAUCUCCUCUAAACAAGAUAUUCGACUUUUAUUGAUUAUAUUAGUUGGUUAUAUUAAUUAAAUAAGGACACAUAAGCAUCAACUUUAAAGGAAGAGAUCCCAUGUGUACAUCAAAAAUUGAGAAAAUGACAUGUGUCCAAGUUUAAUGAGAGAGUGACACAUGUAUAGCUUGUCCUUUGUUUUAGUUAUAAGUAAGAUUAGAUGCCACAUCACCCUGCUAGAUCCACCACUGUCUGUGCGAGUACAGUUCCGGCUUCACCAUCUAAUGUUUUCUGUUAUUAGAUUCUGUACCUAACACUUGUAUGUAGCAAACUAGCAAUUAUGUUAUUUAUCUGGUGACACCAAUGGCAGAUACAUGAAACUUUAGAGUUAAAAUGAGUAGUUGAAUACAUUGCAUUUGUUGUUCUUUCAAGUUAAUUUUUUAUCUACAGGUAAAAGAGUACCCUGCACAUGCAGGUGCUGUCAAUGAUCUUUGCUUUGACGUAGAGGGCGAAUAUAUUGGUAGCUGUUCAGAUGAUGGUCAGUAAUCAUAAACUCUUUACAGAAGAGAAACUGAAGUUUGAUUAUUAUCGCCCAAUGAAGGCUAUUGCUGUAGACCCAUAUUUUGCAAAAAAAUCAUCUAAAAGAUUUGUUGCUGGUGGCUUAGUUGGCCAUUUAUAUAUCCAACACGAAAAAGUGGAUUGGCUACGGUGACCAGAUUCUUCACUCUGCUGAAGGUCCUAUUCAUGCAGUUAAAUGGAGAACAAAUUUGAUUGCUUGGGCUAAUGAUACAGGAGUUAAAGUUUAUGAUAGCGCUAACAAUCAGCGUAUAACUUUUAUUGAAAGACCUCAAGGGAGCCCUUUCCCUGAGAUUCUUUUCCCUCACUUAGUUUGGCAGGUGAGUUAAAGAAUUAAUGUAAUGGUGUCACCUGUAUUGGAUGGGAGGGGGGGAGAGUACUGCCGCUAUAAUAUAGGAUGAUAGCCUCCUGGUAAUUGGUUGGGGGACAUCUGUGAAGAUUGCAUUGAUAAGAGCAAAUCAAAACAAGACCACCAGUGGGCCAUAUAGGCAUAUAAUGUCUAAUAUGAACAAGGUUGAUAUUGUCGCAUCUUUUCAAACCGGCUAUUACGUUUCAGGAGUUGCACCUGCUGGUGAUAAUUUGGUUGUUCUAGCUUAUAUACCAGGAGAAGAAGACAGAGAAAAGGAAUUUAGUAAUUCUGUUCCAUUGCGCCAGAGUACCUACCAUGGAUGAUCUAAAUCAAGACAAACUUGCUGGAGGAAGGGUAGACUUUCUUGGCCUUCUUAAAGAAGUAAGUAAUUGUUUAAAUUACAUUAUGAUUUUUUGGGAAUUUGGAUGUCUGUGUCAAAUUCUAGAAUUAAUUCUUACAACUAUAUCCAGAAGUCCACUAAAGAUGUCAAAAAAUGUGUUGUCACCGUGGCAACACAUCUCCUUAUGUACACUAUCAUAUACUACUAUGGAAUUUCAACAUGUUUACUACUUUUACAACUAACUUUUAAGAAUUUAUUUCAAAUUCUGAAAAGGAGUACAAUUAGCUGUUUAAACAAGAAGCUUUCGUGCUAAUCAUUUGGAAAGUGAAAAAGAGAAAGAACCUCGACUAACAGAUAAUAAGCCAGUGUGAUUUUGGUUCAGUUUUGCACUUAUACUCAUUUAUGCCAAGCGUUCUCUUUUGUGUAUUGCUACCAUCGGAUACGGGUGACAUAUUUAUAAAAUAAUUGGUCGGGCGGUCGGUACUUGGGCCGAAAUACGGGCCUAUCUAUAUUCAAUUAGUUUAUUCAGCUGUUAAAUAAAAAAAUUAUUUAACCAUGUCAGAAUUUUAUUUCAUAAUAAAAUUAGCUAGAUAUAAAAUACAUACAAUGAAAUAACAAAUAUUAUAACCACCCGUGCAUUGCACGGGUUCAGACUACAAGCUUGAUACAGAGAAACUUUUUGACGAAGUGUGAAUUCUUUUUAGGUUUAAAUUUUGGCGUUUAUGUUAUUUUUCAUGUCAAGUUCUUUGCUUAUACUAAUAUUUGAGCAUAUAUAGGAAGACAUAAGUGAAUUAUUUACAUGACUAUAUUUGUGAGCAUCAUUUUUGUCCCUUACGAAAAAAAUUGUUGGUAUGUUUUUCAGAGGGAAUCAGACAUUGCAUAGCUUGAGCAAGGUGUGUAACUCCCCUUUUGAGGUUUCAUCCUGUCUGGCAUAAAACCGACUCAUAUAAUGAUCUCACAAUAAUGACAAAAACUGAAUCUUCACGAUUAUUGUUGAAUGACUAUAAGACUAUCAGUUGCAUGGAGUUGUGGACUAUAUUUUUCAAUUUGUGAUGCCAUGCUAUUCUAAAUUCCUUUAAGUUGGCUUACAUAAUAUUACUGCUUAGUUUUGCCAGAGUGCAACUUUUCAUUUCUUCGAACCUGCUAAGCUAAUUCUUAUCAAGGGAAAAACUUGAGAAAAAGGACAUCAAGAGGCUUACUAAGUCCUAACUCUGCCUUACAUUUGAAGACCUUAGAUAGAACUGUUUUUCUUCACCUUGAGUAUAUUCUCUAUCUAUGUAUGCAUGAUAUACACACUUGAUUAAGGUAUGGUUUGUUUAUCCUCUUUUUUAGACAGUGUGUACAGUAUUAAGUGUUAUAGUUGGAGGCUUAGUAGCAGAACAUUCGGUGUUUGGUUACUCAGCAGGACUUCUCUGACGUGAAGAAGGUCGGCUACAUGUCCUGUGUGCUAAUCCUUAGAGAUUCAUCAAAAUUGUAUAUUACUGGUUUUUAUCGCUUUUAUAAAUUAUUUUUAAUUCA